rnacentral:lncRNA from 1 species
UUUUACUUCCUUUUUUUUUUGGCCAAUUUGUAUAAAAAAUUUAUUAGUUUUCAGGUUUUGCAAAAGUAAGCUGUAUUUUUAGAUUUUGCAGAUUCGGACCGAAUUUUCGAAAAAUUGACCAAAAUAUUCUUAUUUUCUUUUCUCUUUCCUUUUUGUACGAAUUUUCGGAAAACUGACCAAAAUACUUUGUUUUUUUCUUUUCUCUUUCCUUUUUUUUUCUUUUGUUU